AUACGGAGGGUCCGAGCGUUAUCCGGAAUCAUUGGGUUUAAAGGGUCCGUAGGCGGGAAUCUAAGUCAGUGGUGAAAUCUUACAGCUCAACUGUAAAAUUGCCAUUGAUACUGGAUUUCUUGAAUUAGUGUGAAGUGGUUAGAAUGUGUAGUGUAGCGGUGAAAUGCAUAGAUAUUACACAGAAUACCAAUUGCGAAGGCAGAUCACUAACACUAUAUUGACGCUGAGGGACGAAAGCGUGGGGAGCGAACAGGAUUAGAUACCCCAGUAGUCC
rnacentral:rRNA from 1 species